rnacentral:tRNA from 1 species
GGCCGCGUGGCCUAAUGGAUAAGGCGUCGGACUUCGGAUCCGAAGAUUGCAGGUUCGAGUCCUGCCGUGGUCG